GACGAACGCUGGCGGCGUGCUUAACACAUGCAAGUCGAGCGGUAAGGCCCUUUCGGGGUACACGAGCGGCGAACGGGUGAGUAACACGUGGGUGACCUGCCCUCAGCUCUGGGAUAAGCCUGGGAAACUGGGUCUAAUACUGGAUAUGACUCCACGGUGCAUGUCGUGGGGUGGAAAGCCUUGUGCGGCUGAGGAUGGGCCCGCGGCCUAUCAGCUUGUUGGUGGGGUGAGGCCUACCAAGGCGACGACGGGUAGCCGGCCUGAGAGGGCGACCGGCCACACUGGGACUGAGACACGGCCCAGACUCCUACGGGAGGCAGCAGUGGGGAAUCUUGCGCAAUGGGCGAAAGCCUGACGCAGCGACGCCGCGUGAGGGAUGACGGCCUCGG
rnacentral:rRNA from 1 species